UUUCCCCUAUAAUUCAUUCAGAAUUCAAAUGUUUGGACGAUACCGCUUAUCGUUCGGACUGCAUCACCAUUUCCUACUCGGGCCAGCUAUUUUUAUGUGUGGGGAAAUUUAUUAUCAGCUUGCCGCCGUCGCCGCCGCCGUUUGAUUGCCAACCGUGCAACCUACGACUGACGACGACAAUGCUGAUGGACGCGUGGCGGUAAAAUCUAGAUUGACGGAGGGGAUUGAUUUUUGUGGCUUUUGGCCGCCUUCUGAUAUGGUUGGACCGUGAUGGGCAAAUAAAAUGCUUCGCAGCUUUGUGAGGGAACUUUGGUCGCGUAAACGUUUGGAGGGUUGGAAAUGAAGAAGAACAUAUUGAGUCUUUUUUUUUAUGAAACUUAAGUAACGAGCUUUGCCAAGAAAGUGCAGAAUAAUCAUGAAAAGUAAUAGUUUGAUGUGAAAUUAUAUAAGGCAUCUUCCUUCGAGAAUUGUUUGUUUCUUCGAAACACUUACAAAAUUUCCCCAACAAGUUUAGUCUGAUUGCGCGGUAAAUAUUCCAAUAAUUCUUAUCAUUGAAGGUUAAUAAAUCCAGCGUUUCAUGAACGUGCUUUGUUUAAUCGUAUAUAACCAUUGAAUAACCAUAUAUGCUAUGGUUAACGAUUAAAUUCGCAGUAACAUGUUUAUGUUCUCGAAUAAAAAUUUCCAUACUAAUACAACACAUAACAAUAAUACUUCAACGAUUAUAUCGUAUAGAAAACUCAAACAAUAUCAAAACAGUAAAAUGUAUGGUUUCACAUUUCUUCGAAAUAAAUUAGAUUUUAUAUUGUUAUCAUACGUAACAGUCUAUUCGUUACUUUAAUCUAUUAAUAUUCAUUUACGACACAUCGUAUGGUGAGUAACCAUAAACUAUACUGUUAAUUUAUUGUUUAUUGUGUGGUAGCCACAAUAAACUGUAUUGUAAUGUUACAAUUCAAUAUAUUGUACUCAUGUUGGUUGUUUCCUCGACUUUGGCAGACAAUAAUGCAGAAACUCUCAUGACGAAGAAAAUCCUCUGAUCCCUAAUUAAAAUGAUUUACUUUCGAGCUCAGCAACUCUUGCAAGCGGGAGGGCAAAAAAACACUUGUGUUUACCACCAACGGAAUUUAUCUCUUGUUUGCUCUACGUACUCUCCCACCAAGCAGUUAAUUUGCAAAACAGCAGCCCCACAUCGCAUCCUCUCACAUGAGAAUGGAAAAGAUUGCCUUUUCGGCAUAACUUACCAUCCUGCUUAUAUCGGAUGAAAGUGCUGAUCCCCCACAAUCAAAUAGAAUAAAGAAGGCCAACAACAGAAAGGUAGGUAAAUUCUUUGCUCAGGUAACUCCAGUUCGGAGUUUAUGUUGUCUGAACCAGCCGAACAACUGUGUACGAAAACGUGAUUCGAAUUUUAUUGGAAUUGUUGUUCACUUCGAACUUCGGAACUUUCCGAUUGAUUUCUAUCACGUUUGAUCCAGGGAUUUUCCUCAACAAGAAAGGGUUCUUUAAUGAAGUCUACACUUUUCUUGUUGUCUGAAGAUAACAUUAUGUCAUGAUGAUGAUGAAAAUGGGAUAAUUUCCAGAAAGAAAGCAUACUUGGAGUAACAAUGUAAUAACAAAGAAUUAUAUUGUUAUUGUUUACAACAAUACUUUCUAUUAUACGAAAAGUUCGACCACUUUAAAAAUGGUAUGGUAUGGUUUGUGUUUCAGAUUUGUUCGAGAAAAUAUCCAUAUGUGUCUAUAUUGUUGCGAGCGAUACAUAACAAUCUACCUGACUGAUACACUGUAUGAUGCAUAACCAUUAGUUAUAUAGUUUUUUUUAUUGUCUAUUAUAUAAUAGCCCACGUAAUAGCCACAAUAUACUGUAUCGUAAUUCUACAAAACAAUGUAUUCUAUUUUCAUUGGAUUCUUAUAAUCAGGAAUGGGGCCAUAUUAGGCCUCGAUCUUCAACUGAUGUUUUUAAUGCGGGAGGUAUCCUGACUGGAUUCCAGUAAUAGUCCUAGUCGUUCGGCAAUCCAGUCUAGAUUCUAGAGAAAAACAUGUUUGGUUUUCAAAAGUAAUCCUAUUCUUGAAGCAAUCCUGACUGGAGUCUCGGGGGAAUUCUGUCUAAUUUCCCGAGGCAUCUUGACUGGGUUUGAGGAGGAGUCCUGCCGGCAGUUCAGAAGAAAUCUGUCUGGAUUACAGGAAAAAAAUCAGUUUGGUUUCCAGGCAAAACUCUUCUUGGAUUCCCGAAAGAAUCCUUUCAAUUGCUUUGUUCAGGAAUCAUUUGAUCACUUCUCUAGGACUUUCUAGAUUCCGGUGAGAAAUUUUAUCGAGUAGCUUUUUGUAAUAUCAUUAAAAUCUUAAAAUCCAUUAUAUUAAACGACUUAGGGCCUCUGCUGGGGCUCUCUUCAAAAAUCUCUUUAGAUCAUUUUCAGAAAUCUAGAUGCCUUUAAGAAAUUUCACCAAAUUCCCUGAAGUGACUAGAACCUUUUAGGAAUCUUUUGAUAUGCACCUCAGAAAUGUACAUAAUGUUUGAAGAAAAUUCCGGCGAAAAUCUGAGAAUUUUUAUUCGACAAAAUUAUCCCAUCAUUUUUUUCAGAAAUGAUUUUGAAUUCUCUUGCAUUUUUUUUAGACUUUUUUGGGAUCGAAUUUUUGUUUUCGAACAGGAAUGUGUACUUUUGUCAUCUGGAAUGCCUCAAUUGCCCAAACUCUCUUCAGUAAUUAUUUUCGUUUUCAAUUUAGGAAUUUGCUUAGGUUGAUAUUCUGAUAUUUUUUCCCGGGCUUAAAUUUUAUAUAUUUUUAAUGGCCGGAAAAAAAACUAUCAGAAUAUAAACCUAAGCAAUUGUAAACUACACCUUCACCAUCUACCCACAAAUAGCCAACACAAGCUUAAAUUCACCAAACCCGACAGCCCUACCCGAAUAAAAAAUACAGUAGAAAAACCGAAUGUUGUAUUGUAACAGUACUAUUUAGAACCAUAUUGUUACAAUAAACACCACUGUAAAAAUAAAAAAUACAAAAACAAUAAGAUGUAAUGUUAGACACCAUACAGUGAAUUGUAAAUGAGAUUUUUACAAUAUACUAUACGGAUUGUUAAGUAUCGUAACAAUAUAAAAAAAUAUUUUUCUCCAUAUAUAUUUUUUUACAAAACCAUACAUUUUAUUGUAAAUGAAUUGUUCGAAAUAUUGAUACGUGGGCUUUAAUAUACCGUACAUUGUAUGGUACACGUAUGGUUUCAAACAAUAAAAUGUACCGUAAAUAUAUUGUUUUUAAUUGUAAUUUCACUUCUGGUAAUAAAUUUAAUCAUGGUUUUGGAAUGGUUCUCUUUUGUUAUGUUGUAUUGUUUUACAUUAGAUAAACCAUAUAAUGUUAUAUUAUCUCGUCAUGUUCCUUCGAUAUUGGCAGUUCUAGCCAAACUAACCUAAACUCGUCUAAGUCUGAGUAGCCUCUGAUUGCAUUAACAGUUGAAGCUUAAGCUCCCAUGUCCCACCAGCCAGAUAGCCGGGUUUUGCAAACUAAGCAUUAUUUGUGGCAACACUUUGAGCGGCAUGAUGGAACUAUGCCUAGCGCGCUAAGUGUUAUUAGACCACUAAUGUAGUUGCAUGAAGUGGGUGACGAGGUACAUAAGUAUCAUUACAGCGUGCUUAACCAUUAUUGCAAUAUUGAGGCUCCAAUUUGACUGAACUAUGAAAUGUGUACAUAACAACUCAUGAGAAAACUGUCAAGUUCGAUUCAACUAUAAGUUAGGUUAAAAAGCGAAGACGAACUUAUAUCAGAAGUCGUUUCAGUGUCCAGUCCAGUCCUUAUGUUAAAAAUGGCUCUACGUCAAAGAUAAAUCGCAUUUAAUUCGGUUGUGGUACAAGGCAAGUUCACAUGAGAGAAGGGGAGAAAACUCCCCUAAAUGCAAAUACAGAAAGAAUAGUGUUGAACUCAUCCACUGAUUUACGGUAAUCUGGCCUGCGUCUUUCCGGGUUGACCUACAUUCGUAUUCCUCUCAUCGCACUCUACAUACCUAGCCCGCCAUAUCUCUUGUAUCUGCGAUUCUUAAGACAUCUGGUUUACUACUUAUUUAAACAUUUUAUUGACUUUAAAUUGAUGUUUCAACUUUUUCACUUUUUCUCUUUCAUUUCCUUUGCAACAAAAACGUCACGAGCAUCAACAAAACAAAGCACGGAAAAAAUCUAAAACUGAAUAAUUUUAAAUGCACGGAAAAAGAUUGUUUCGGAGUAGUGAAUGGUUCAAACGUAAGAAAAACAGUAUAAUAUAUUGUUACAUAAAGAUCGGAUGUAAAUGUAUAGUAGCUACAAUGUGCACUGCUUUUAGCGAACCAUUCCAUUACAAUACACUAUAUUGUAGCUGGUACACUGUAUGGUACAGGAAUGGUUUUCACCAAAUACCCUAUGGUUAGUUUUUAUCCGGGCAGAGCAGUAGUCUACUACCAUAGAACUACCAUUACCUUUAUGGUAAAAAGUUACAUUUCCCUUUGCAACAAAGGUAAAACUUUAGUCAUUAGACAUACUCAAUGGAAUCAUUUGACGUCCUCUUCAAUGGUUAUUGUAUCAUUUUGGUCAUUACAGUAAUGGUUAUUCAAUGGUUUUCUAACAGUUAUCGUAUGAUAUUUGAUUUCCAAACUAUUGUACUUAGCGUGUCAACCUGGAUUCGUUCCAUGUUUAUCCGUCGUACAUAUCUUGUUCCCGACGAACACCGGGGCAACUUUCUGAUCUUUUCGCGACGAAAACACGCGACUCUUCACUUGAGCCAUCGUGCUCUUCAUUAUUUGUUUCAGCGAAUCAAAUAGUUUACCCGUAAGUUAGACAAAGCCUAGAAUGUUGAUUCACAGGGCUGGAUAUGAUUCUGAAAUCUGAUUCUUGUUAAUGUGCCAGCUUUAUAAAACAUUUUUAUAUUCGAUGAGCCACUAAGCUCAGAAUCGGAUCUGAGGCUGUCGUCAUAGUUCUUGGCGGUGUGUGUCUCACCCCACUCCAACGAAGGGCUUCGUUGGGGGUACAAAACUGUUCAAAAUUCAGAAUUCUCUUGACCGAAGAACGUUCAGCCUUACUCUUUCCGUGAGCCAUUGUGCUCUUCAUUUUUAUUAAACGAAUCGAAGAGUUCACCUGCAGCUCGAACAAAUUCCAGAAGACUGAUUCGCAGUGCUGGGGAUUUUUGUUAAAUUGUCAGCUCUAUCGAACAUCGUUCGGUUCACUGAGCCCCUAAGCUCACAGCCGGUUCCGAAACUCCCUUUUUAGUUCUUGGCAGUGAUCUCAUCCCAAUCUAACAAAUGGUUCCACUGUGGAACAACAUUUUUCUAAUGUCUAAGGUGUUCGUAACGGUAGUUGUAAAAUUGAAAUGGUUAAUUCUUACCAACCCCAACUCACUGCUUACUGCUUGUUGAGCUAUCAUAGCUCUCAAGCACUUUAAAGUAUCACUGAUGAGCACUUUAGUUGGUGAUGGAUACAGUAAAUUUUGACGAAAAAUUUCGUAGCAAUGCAUUGAAUAGCGUAUGAGACACGUGUAUUGAAGUGUUGAUGAGCCAUUCAAGCUCCCCCGAUCAUUUCACACUAUUUAGUCUUGAUCCAUAGGGAAAUACACUUCAUGAUACAUAACAAUUCACUGCUCAUUCCAUUUUCGGGACGUGACAAGUGAGCUAUUUAGCUCCACGUUUAUGACAAUGAGGAGCCAUUUAGCUCACGAAUUAAACUUAAUCUAAUAGAACUCAUCCCUCGCUGAUAUUGUUAGAGUUUCUGCUGAAAUGUUGGUACCGACGUUCAUAUGGUCACUGUACUGGUUAGGGGCACGUAGACCAUAUUCUGGAAAUUUUGGACACCCCCAAUAAAUGUUCUCGCUAUAUGAGCAAUUUAGCAAUCUCCUCGAGUUUGAUACGUACUCAAUGCUCUAGAUGACUCUGACCAUACGCUCUAUAAAAAUCGAUCGACAUUAUGGACAGAUUACUCUGAAAAACUGUAAUGUAACUGUGAUGUUCCAAGAUCACUAUCACUAUACUAUAUCUGAUCAAAUCAUAUACUUAGAACUGAUUGUUGAGUCAUCGAAGCUCCUAAAAGUUCUGCUUGAACUUUAAAUUGCAUCAAACUUCUCUGCUUGAUCCAGUAAUGAAUUAUGGCAGAGGAAAAGAUGAUCUCAUAAACGAAGUGAGCCAUUUGGCUCUUAGGUGAGGAAAACUCCCAGUGUUACUCUUUUCACGUGUUAUGAAGCAGUGGAUAUCCACAGGAACUUUUUGAUAUUUGGAACUCUCUGAGCCAAAUAGCUCCAACUUUAUUACACACCUCAAUUGAACAGAAAUGUUUUCAAUUAAACGCUAAUUAUGCUUCCAUUAGGAUUAGAUCUUUCUCAAGACCAUGACGCUGUAAGCGUUCAUAUUGCUGCCGAUUGGUAUAAGUUCCGGAAUUCGCAAGAGCCAUGUGGCUCUUAUUUUAGUGGCGGCGUUUUUCAUACACUCCACUAAGUUUGAAAAAUAAAUAGGUACCGAUUGUAUAAUCUUUCAAGUACCAAAGGAUUGUGAGCCAGGCAGCUCCUCCAAUUUCUUGUGAUGAUGUUUAUCAAUUCACAAAAAAAAAAACGUUAUAGCGAAGCUUGGCAGGAUCUUCUGCACGGUCAUAAAGCUCCAUUGAAUGUUCAUGUCGUCACAGAUCGAACAAUGCUUCAAAAUUCCUAAAAAAGAGUACCACGAAAAUAGGAGCCACAGAGCUCAAUCCAAUUUUCGUGGUACUCUUUUUUAAUCAAUUCAACGAAAUGCUGCAUUUCACAGUGCUCUAGUGAAUCAUCUAUAAACUUAUUGUACAGCCUUUCGAGCUGUAUUACGUUCUGAGCUAUGUGGCUCCCAUUUUUGGUAAAACUCUUCGUCAUUUUAACCCAACGAAAAUCAAUUCUGUAGGUAAAUUUAACAAUUAUUUAGCAGAAAAGAUCUUCUGGUUUUCUUGUGGUAAUGUUGUGGCUAUGUGACUGCAAUUUAGUGGUUUUGUAUGCUAGUGACCAUUCGAGCUCGAGAUAUCUCUAAACCAUGUAUCCCCCAUUUUGUGGUGUUUUUUUUUACAAUCCACCAUAAGCUUCGGAGCAUUAGAGAUCUCUUACUCACAUACAACCGGGUUUUGAGCUAUUGACGUUAAUUUUGCCUAGUAAGGAGUUUCGUUAGAUCUUUUCCAAGAUCAUAAUGCUGUAUUGCUGCUAAUUGCGCAUGUUGUUGAUGGUUGAUUCAAGAUCUGGAGCUCUCAGGAGCCAUGUGACUCUUGUUUAUGUGGUAUUAUUUUUCUUACACUCCCACCAAACUUGCGAGAUACAUUGACACUGAUUGCAUAGCCUCUUGGGCAUCAGAAGAUUGUGAGCCAUCUAGCUCCUUCCAUUUUUGUGGUGGUUUUUAUCAAUCAUACAAAACAAAUGUAAAAGCGAAAAUAGGCAGGAUCUGUUGCACGAUCGCAAUGCUCUAGUAAAUGUUCAUGUCGCCGCAGAUUGACCCAUUUUUCGAGCUUUCUGUCUGUUGAGCCCUGUGGCUCCCAUUUCCAUGGUGUUUUUUUUAAUCAAUUCAACAAAAUUCCACUUUUCGCAGUGCUCUAGAGGAUCAUGUAUCAACUUAUAGUGCAGGAAGAUCUCGACAGAAGUAACUUCAAAUAUUAAUUCAGAGAAUUCAGGGAUGCCUCCUAGAGAUACAUCAGAGAUUCAUCCAGAAGAAGAUCCUUCAGGGAUUCUCAUAAGAGGUCCUUCACAGAUUAGUCUGAGAGUUCUUCCAUGGAUUCCUUCAGAAGUUCCUUCAGGAAUUCCUACAGGAAUUUCUUUGGGAACUAGUCCAGCAGUUUCCUCAGAGAUUCCUCCAGGAGAUCCUUCAGAAAUUCCUGGAAUUUGUUCAAGAAUCCCUCCUGAAUUACUUGGAAUUACUUCGGGAUGCCUCAAGAAUUUUUUCAGAGAAUGUUUCAAGAGUUCUUUCAAGGAUUGCUCUAGAAGUUCCUUCGGUGAUCUCUCAGGGAUCUCCCUAUUAGCUCCAGGAGGAUUCAGGGAUGCCUCCAGGUGUUUAUGAGGAAUUACAUCAGAAGUUCCCUAAGCUAUCACAACGGGAGUUCGUUCAUGUAUCCUUCCAGAAGUCCCUUUAAAGAUUCUUUUAGGAGGAUUCAUAAAUGCCACCUGGAGAUCCAUCAAGAAUCCCGUGAGAAGUUUCUUCAGGAAUUCCUGCAGGAGGUCUUAAGAAAUUAGUCUAGGGGUUUCUGCAGGGAUUCCUUCUGAAGUAUCUUUAGAAAUUCCAGCAGGAGUUCUUUCCAGGAAUUCCAUCAGAGAUUCCUCCAAGAGUUUCAGGGAUUAUUGCAGAUGUUUUUUCAGAGAUUCCUCCUGAAUUUCUUCAGGGAUCCUACAAAAGUUCCAUCAGAGAAUCUUAUACGAGGAUCCAAUAAUACCUCCAGGGGAAUUCAUGGAUUACCCCAGAAGUAUAUUCAAGGAUUCCUAUAUAAGAGCUCCUUCGCAGAUUUCUUCAGGAUUGCUCGAGAAGUUCCUUUAGGAGUUCUUCCAGGGAUCGCUGAAUCUGAAAGCUCCCCAUCAGAUUGUAGAUUGAGGUUGAGAUUUUCCAGGAAGACUAACGGAUGCCUCCAGGAGUUACAUCAGAAGCUCAUUCGGGAAUUCUUACAGGAGUUGCUUCAGGGAAUCUUGUAGGAGUUCCUGCAAUAAUUCCUUUAGGAUUAUAACCAGGCAUAGCUCCAGGAUAUUCUUGAGGGAUCUUUCAUGGAGUUUCUACAGGAAUUCCUCAAGGAUUUCCUUGUUGAAAAUCCUUCGUGGAUUCCGCCUGGAAAUCCUUUGGAUAUUGCUACCGGAAUUCUUUUGAACAAUAUCCUGGAAUCACUGCACGGAUUCCUCCUGAAAUUCUUUCGGGGGUUCCUUCUAAUAUUCCGUCGAAUUUCUUUGGUGAUUCCUCUUCGAAUUCUGUCGGAGAUUCCACCUGGAUCCCUCAUGGGAUUCUUCUAGGGAUUGCUCUUGCAUUUCAUUUAGGGAUUUCUCUUGGACUUCUUUCGGGGAUUUAUCCUAGAAUUCAUUCUGGAAUGUCUCCUGGAAUUCCUUCGAUCAUUCCUCCUGGACAUCCUUCAUGAAUUCCUCCUGAAAUUUCUUCGGGGUUUCCUCCUGGAAUUUCUUUGAUGAAUUUCUUCGGAGAAUACUCCUGGAUUGGUUCAGGGAUUCCUCAUAGAAUUCCUUCUGGAGUCCUUCUGGAAUUUCUUUGGGGUUUUCUUCUGGAAUUGCUUCACUGAUUUCUCCUAGAAUUCCUUCGGGGAUUCCUCCUGGAAUUCCUACGGAGAUUUUUCCUGAACCUCCUAUGGGGAUUCCUCUUAAAAAUCCUUCUAGUAAUCCGCUUGAAAAUUCUUCGGAAAUGCCUCCCAGAUUUCCUGCAGGGGUUCCCCCUGGGAUUCCUGCAGGGAUUUCUCCUGUAAUUUCUUCGGGAGUUCCUCCUGGAAUUCCAUCAGGAAUUCUUCCAGUGAUUCCGUCGGGUAUUCCUGCUGGACUUCCUUCAGGAAUUUCUCCUGGACAUCCUUCGGGGAUUUCCCCUGGAAUUAAUUCGAAUAUUCCUCCUUAAAACCCUUCGGGGAUUCCUACUAGAGUUCCUUCGGGGAUUUUUCCAGGAAUUCUUUCGGAGAUUCCUCCUGAACUUUCUUCGAGGAUUCCUCCUGAAAUUUCUGCGGGAAUUCCUCUUAUAAUUUCUUCGGAGAUUUUUCCAGCAAUUCUUUCGGGUAUUCCUAUUGGAAUUCCUGCGGGAACUAUUCCUAGAAUUAUUUCAGGGGUUUCUCAUGGAAUUCCUAUGAGGGUUCAUACGAUGAUUCCUCCUGGAUAUUUUGCGAUGAUUCCUCCUAGAAAUAAUUUGAGGAUUGAUUCUCGAAUAUUUUCAAAAAAAAUCUGGAAUUUCAUUGGGGAUUCCUCUUGGAAUUCCUUCAUCAACUCCUCCUGGGAUUUUUCGGGGAUUCCUCUAGAUAUUCCGUCGUGGAUUCCUCUCGGAAUUCCUUCGGGGUAUCCUCCUGAAAUUCUUUAGAUUUCUUUCGGAGAUUCCUCCUGAAAUUCCUUCAAAAAUUCCUCCUGGAAUUUUUUCGGGAUUUCCUUCUUGAAUUUCUUCAGUAAUUUCUCCUAGAAUUCCUUCAGAAAUUUUUCCUGGUAUUCGAAGACUCUUCCUAGAGUUCCUUCGAGGAAUCCUUCUUGAAUUUCUUUGGAGAUUCCUCCUGGACUGCCUAUGGGGAUUCUUCUUAGAAUUCCUUCGGUGGUCCACUUUGAAGAAUCCGAUUGUAAUACCAUCGAAGAUUCCUCCGGAAUUCCUUCGGAGGAGGUGCCCUCUCGGAUUCCUGCAAGGAUUUUUCCUGUAAUUUCUUCGGGGAUUCUUUCAAGGGUUCCUCCUAAAACUCAUUCGGGGAUUCCUCCUGAUAUUUUGUCGGGGAUUACUCCUGGAAUUCCUUCGGGAUUUCCCCGUGGAAUUCUUUUGGUGAUGUCUCUUCAAAUUUCUUCGGAGAUUCCUCCUGGAAUUCUUUUGGUAGUCCUCCUAGAAUUCCUGCAAGGUUUCCUUCUAAAAUUCCUUCGGUGAUUAUCCCUAGAAUUGCUUCGAGAAGUUCGCUUGAAAUUUCAUCGGGGAUUUCUCUUGGAAUUCCCUUGGAGAUUCCUCCUAGAGUAAUUUUGAGGAUUUCUCGUAGAAUUCCUUCGGGGGUUUCUCGAGGGAUUCUACCUUCGAGGAUUCUUCCUAAAAUUCCUUCGGAAAUUUCUCCUGAUAUUUCGUCAGGGAUUAACCUUAGGGACUCCCUCUUAGUGUUGGUAUCCCUCUUAGAUUCCUUUUAGAAUUCCUUCGGGGAUCCCUCACGGAUUUCCUGCGGGAAUUCCUCUUAGAAUUCCUCUGAGGAUUCUUUCUAGAAUUGCUUCGGAGUUUCCUGCUGGAAUACCUUUUGAGAUACCUCCUGGAAUUUUUUUGAGGAUUCCUCAUGGAAGUCUUUCGAAAAUUCCUCCUAGUAUUCUCUCAGGAAUUUCUCCUGGAACUCCUUCAGAGAUUCCUUCUCACUAUUUUUUAUUGAUUCCUCCUAGAUAUCCGUUGGGGAUUCCUUCUCGAAUUUCUUUAAUUUCCUUGGGACUCCUGCUUGAAUUAAUUUGGGGAAUCCUCCUGGAUUUCCUUCUGAAAUUGCUCGAAAACUUCAAUCAGAGAUUUCUUUAGAAUUUUCUGCAGGGAUCUCUAAAAGCGGUUCUUGAACCACCAGAGAUUCCCGCAGAAGUUCUUCAGGGUUUCAAACAGCAGUUCCUGCUGUCCAGAAUUUUCUUCAUGGAUUCCUUCAGGAGUUUCUUUCAGGCUCCUCCUAGGAUUCCUUCUGAGAUUCCUCCCUGAAAUUAUUCGGGGAUUACUUAGUGUAAAUAGUGUGACCUAAUUAUCAAGUUCAAUUACUUCUGAAGGUUCUGAGAAAACCAAACAAAAACUGUAGCAAAAUCAAUAUUUUAUUGCCCUUCAUUUGCAAUGGAGUAUUCAACAUGCAUUACAUUAAGGAUACCGGUAAUGUCUCUAUAUUUCUUUACAAUUAUAAAUAUUUGUUAUCGCUAACCUCGAAACAGCUGCGAAUACUUCGGCCCUCCAAACUUAUAUAGUAUUAACAGAUUUUUAGCUUGAAGGUGAGUUCAAUGAACGUUUAUAUAGCUCUUCUCUUUCAAAGAGCUGUCUAGCUCUUUUAUUUAUUUAGCUGCAGGGUUAACCCAGUUGUGGCUCGAUGAUACUAUCAGUAUUCACUUGUUAUUCUAAGGAGAUGUUGUACUUCAUGUUCUCUGUAGGCCGUGCUCGCACUGAGCUGUUGUAGCUCCUAGGAGUUCUGUAUCCAUAUCAUUUCAAGAGCUGUUAAAACUCUUGCGUCAUUUCGAUUUAUUUUAGGUGUUGUUGUCAAACUUCUUGUCGUAAUAGGUUUCUGAUUUCAUGCAAAGUUCAUAGAUGUAUAUAAGUGGCCGACGAUCCAUCCCUCUCUCAUUGCUUGUUAAGAGCUGUUACAGCACCUGUGCGCUCUGCGUUACUUGAAAUCCUCUCGUUAAUUGAACAACUUUGCUCUCGGCCAAGUGGCAGUCUGGUUUCCAACGAUGUUCCCUACUAGAUUCGUCUGAAUGUUUUGCAGCUAUGGAGAUUUUACCUGAUUGGUUUAUUGUUGGAUUUCAGAGAGCUAUAGAGCUCUUCUGUUUUUUAAGUGCAGGAAUAGCCCAGCUGUGGUUUGAUGAAACGUUUUGUAUUAACUAGCCUUUCUAAGAAGAUGUUGUGCUUCAUUAUCUUUGUAUAUGCCUGCUCGCACUGAGCUGUUAGAGCUCUUAAGAGUUCCAUAUCAAUUCAUCCCAAAUUCAUUUCAUGAGCUCUCAAACCUCUUCGUUGGCCUGGAUGGAUUUGAUGUUCAAAAUACGGUAAAAGUUCACCACGCAGAGCUAUAAAAGCUCCCGAACAUUCUGCGACGGCCAGCCUCAUUUUAAGAGCUACUAAAGCUCUCCACGACUCUUGAAACUUUUUGCGCUGAAAAUCAAUAGCGAAAUGAGCCAUUUAGCUCUUACAUUUCUUACAAACCGUAGGAAUUCUGUCGCAGUUACUCGAUCGAGUUUUUUCUUGGCGCUGCGAGUGCUGUGUGGAUUCAUCACUCGCUCAUUGCUUGUUGAGAGCUAUUACAACUCCUGGGCCUUGAGCGUCACUUGCAAUCCGCUCGUGAGCAACUUAGCUCUCGACCAAGCACCAGUCUGAUUUUCGUUAGUGGUUCUGGCUAGAUUCGUCUAAAUGUUUUCCAGCAGUGAAGAUUUUCUCUGAUUGCUUUUUCUAACCGGGUUAGAACUCCGGAUUCGGUAGUCUUCCUUAUCACACACUCACUGUGCUUGGAGAGUUUAAUAGCUCUCAAGCAAGCUGCGUGUUUCAGUUUGAGAGCUGCUUAAACUCUUCAUGAGUUGCAAUCCAUAAAUCGCUUGUUGGGGUUCUGAAGCUUCUGGGUGUUUUGCGCUAUUCGACUUCGUAUCCAACGAUGCUGAAGUUGUGCGUCCACAUGUGGUGAGCCAUUUGGCUCCAAAUUUUCUGUGGUAAACAGUCGUGACCUAUUAAGCUUUUACAGCUUGGACACUCCAAACAAUUUGGCACGAACUCUCUCCAAAUUCGGAAGUCUUCCAUCACAUUGUGCGUCAUUCAACUCCACAUCAGGCGAUGCUGAAGCUCUUUCCACAAUUUGCUAACGGAUUCGUAGCGCAAACAAGUUGCCGAAGUUGAGCUUCCACGUGUGGUGAGCCAUUUGGCUCCAAAUUUCGUGUGGUAACCAGUUUUAAUAUAUACUUGAGAUAGUUUGGGCCCUUAUACUAGUUCUUGGCUGAGUCGACUGAUAUAAUCUGCUGGGUUUAGGACUCCAAGUCUGAUAGAAUUCCACCUGGCACUUACUGUUUGCAGAGCUUUCGAAGCUCCUAAGCAAUCUAUGUGAUUCAGUUUUUGUUUGAAAGUUACACGAAAUUUUCAUGCGCCACAUUGCGCCAAUUUUUCUUGUUGUUCAGGUUGAAACAGAUUAACCGCUUGAUGAUUAUUUCUGAAAUGAAUGAGCCAAUUAGCUCCACUGUCACAAAGCUUUCUUCUUUUUAUUCGUGACCAAUUUAGUUUUUAGAGCAUGGACAGUCCAGAUGUGCCACGAACUCUCUCCCAAUUCGGUAGUCUUCCACUACGCCCUCACAGUUUGGAGAGUUUUGUGGCUCCCAAGCAAUCUGAACUUUCAGUAAGCGAGUUGCUAAAGCUCCUCAUGGAUAAUGUUUACGUUUGUUGUGCUGCUGAAGCUUCCGAGUGUUUUGCGUCAAUCGGCACCAUAUCAGGCAAUGUUACUCCUCUUUCCGCAGUACGCUAAUGGAUUCGUAGCGCAAACAAGUUGCCGGAGUUCAGUUUCCACGUGUGGAGAGCCAUUUGGCUCCAAACUGUCACACUGUCGACUGAGUUUUUCUACUGGGUUUAGGGCUACAAGUCUGAUAAACGUACACCUCGCCAUCACUGUUUGCAGAGCUUUCAAAGCUCCUAAGCAUUCAAGUGCGAUCUAGUUUUUGUUUGAAAGUUGCACACAAUUGUCAGCGGAGGAGUCACAAUGCACCGAUGAAUCCUUCUGUUCAGGAACUUCCUUUAUUUCGAAAAGAAACAAUAGCUUGAUGGUGUAUCUGAAAGAAAUGAGCUAUUCAGCUCUUACUGCUUCGUUAGUCUGGAUGUGGCUCGAACGAAAGAUUGUUUUUCCUGACGCUCCAAUUUCUGGUUAGAUCCACCACUCACUUACUGCUAGUUGAGCUGUGAAAGCUCAUGUGCAUUCUGCGCCACGGUGGCGUUCAAUCGCUGCCGGAGUUGAGUUUACAAGCGUGGUGAGCUAUUCGGCUCUUUGUUUUGUGAAGUUAUCGGUAUUACGAUAGUUUUUCUGGUUCGUUGUUCCGCUUCGUUACAAAACUUUUGGGCUGCAGCUGCAGGCUCUUGUAAUCUUCUCGUUGAUUGAGCAGGUUCGCUCUUCUCGAUUGAACCACAGAUUUAGCUGGUAAGUUUUGCAGUGGUUAGGGAGAAUUCUUAUGUUCUGCGUUCAUCACACACUUACUGCUGCUGCUUUUGAGGAUAAACUAUGAAUUUCCUGGUUCCUGUAUGCUUCCAUUUAUCUUCCAAUACUAUUUGCUGGAGAAAUUCCUCCAGAAUGUUUUGAAUUUUUGAAUUCCAGAAGGAAUGCCUGUAAGAAUUUCAAAAAAUAAACCGGUACGAAUUCCUGGAUAAAUUAUGGGAGGGAUACCUAGUGAAAUUUCUGAAGAGAUCUCAUGAGGAAAUCCUAGAAAAAUUUCUGGAGGAUUCCUUGGAGGAAAUUCUGGAGAAAUUCCAGGAGGAAUUCUUGAGUAAAAUUUCAUAAGAAAUGUCUUUAAAAAUUCCUAUAUGAAAUCUUAGAGAAAUUUGUGAAGGAAUCCUUGGAGGAAUGCCUGUAGAAACUUCUGGGCAAAUUCCUGGCGUAAUUCCUGGAAGAAUUCCUGGAGAAUUUCCUUGAGCAAUUUUUUGGGUGAAUUCUUGGAAUCCCUAGGAGAAUUCUGGGAGAAAUUCCUGAAGAAAUUUCCAGAGGAACUCUGGGAGGAAUUGCUGGAGAAAUUUCUGAAAAAAAAAAUCCCUUGAGAAAUUCCAGGAGGAUUUCCUGAAAGAACACUUGGAGGAAUUUCUAGAGGACUGCCUGGUGAAAUCUCUGGAAAUAUCCCUCGAAAAAUUCGUGGAGAAAUCCCUGAAGUAAUUGCUGGAGGAAUCUCUGGAGGAAUCUCUGGAGGAAUCCCUGAAAAUUUCCUCAAUAGUAUUCCUGGAGAAUUUCCUGAAAGAAUCUCUGAAGAAAUCCCAAGAGGAUUCCCAGGAGAAAUUCCUGGACGAAUUGCUGGCAUAAUUCCUGAAGGAUGCCAGGAAUAUUCCGGAAGAAAUUCCUGGGGUAUUUCCUGGAGGUAUUCCGGAAGAAAUUUCCUGGGGAAAUUCCUAGAUAACAUCCCGGAGGAAUAAAUGGAGGAGUUCCUAGUGGUAUUCCUGUGGAAAUUUCUAGAGGAAUCUCUAGAGGAACUCUGGAAAGAAUUACUGGAUGAAUAUCUAGAGGAAUCUCCAGAAGAAUUCUGAGAGAUUCCUGUUUCUAUUUCUGUUAUUUUUCUAUUUUUGAAAGAACUCCUUGAGAGAUUCCUGGAAUUUCUAGUGGAAUCGCAAGUGGAGUUCCUGGAGAAAUUCUCGAAGGAAUUCCUGAAGGAGUCUCAGGGGGUUUCCUUGAAGAAAUUUGUGAAGAAAUCCCUGGAGGAAUAUCUGGAGGAAUCCCUGGUGGAAUACCUGGAGGAAUCCCUGAAAAAUUCCUGAAGGAAUUUCUGGAGAAUAUUCUUGAAGAUUUUUUGAAGAAACCUCUAGAGGAUUUCCUAGAAGAAUCUUUGGAGAAGCUUCUGGAGGAUUUCCUGAAGAGAUUUUUCAUGUAGAAAUCUCUGGAGGAAUCCCUUCAGGAGGGAAAUCCCCUGGAGGAAUAUCUGGAGGAUCAGGAAGCAAUUCCUGAUAAAAUCUCGGGAGAAAUUCCUUGAGAAAUACCUAGAGGAAUUGCUGACUUAAUUUCUGAAAGAUGUCCAGGAGCAAUUCCUGGGGUAGUUCCUGAUGAAAUUACUGGGGUUAUUCCUGGAUAAAAUGCUGGAGGAAUACCUGGAGUAAUUACUAGAGUUAUUUCUUUGGGAAUUUCUGGAGGAAUCUCUAAGAGAAAUUCUUGGAAGAAUUACUGGAUGAAUUUCUAGAGAAAUUCUGGGAGAAUUCUAUUCCUAUUCUAUUAUUUUUCUGUUUCUGAAAUCCUGGAGGAAUUUCUAGCGGAAUUUCUGGAGGAAUUCUUGGAUAAAUCCUUGUAAGAAUGCCUGAAGGAAUCUCUGGAGGAAUCAUAGAAGCAGUUUGUAAAGAAGUCCCUGGGGGAAUCCCUGAAAAAUUACUGAUGGUAUUCCUCCAGGAACUUCCUGGAAGAAUCCAGAAUCCUCUGGAGGAUUUCCUGGAGAAAACCCUGAAAUAUUCCUGAGGGUAUUCCUGGAGAAUUUCUUGGAAGAAUUUCUGAGAAAAUCUCCAGAAGAAUUUCUGCAAAAAAUCCUGGAGAAAUUGUUGACAUAAUUUCUGAACGAUGUUCAGGAGCAAUUCGUGGAUCAAUUCCUAGAGAAAUUUCUGGAGGAAUUCCUGAUGAAAUUCUUGGGGUAAUUCCUGAAAAAUUUCCUGGAAUAGUUCUUGGAGAUAUUCCUGGAUAAAAUCUUGGAGGAAUUGCUGGAGGUUCUCCUUUGGGAAUUGCUGGCGGAAUCCGUGAGGGAAUUUCUGGAGGAAUUCCUUCAACAACUUCUGAAUGAAAUUCUGGGUGAAUCUAUGGAGAAGCUCUGGGAGAAAUUUCUGAAAAAAAUCCCCUGAGAAAUUCACGGAGGGAUUUUAAGAGAAAUCUCUGAAGGAAUUCCGAAAUCUCUGAAAAAAAUCCCUGAAAAUGUUCCUGGACGAGUUUUAGCGGAAUUCCUAGAGAAAUAUCUGUAGUGAUUCCUGGAGGGAAAAGGAAGAUUUCUUGGAGGAUUUUUUGGAAAAAUUCCAGAAGGUAUUCCUAGAAAAAACCCUGGAAGAGUUUCUGAAGCAAUCCCUAAUUUAUGAUGAUGUUCACUGAUUAACUCCUGGUGUAAUUCCUGGAGGAAACCCUGGAAAAUUCUUGAAGGUAUUCCUGGAGAAUAUUCUUGAAGAAUUUCUGAAGAAAUCCCUAGGGGAUUUCCUGGAAGAAUCAUUGGAGAAACCUCUGCAGGAUUUCCUGGAGGAAUCUUCAAAGAAUUUCCUGAAGAGAUUCCAUGGAGAAAUCUCUGGAGGAAUCCCUUAAGCAAUUCCUGAUGGAAUCGCAUGAGAAAUUCCCGGAGAAAUACCUAGAGGAAUUGUUUUUUUUUUUUUUAUCUGUAUUAACGAGAUUUUUAGCCCUAGGCUAGUUCAUCUCGGGACCCACGCUUCACUUCCCUUCCGAAGGAAGAACUCACAUUUUGCGAGUUUGUCGGGAGUGGGAUUCGAUCCCAGGUCUUCGGCGUGAUAGUCAAGUGUUCUAACCAUCACACCAGGUCCGCUCCUCAGAGGAAUUGUUGACAUAAUUUCUGCAAGAUGUCCAGGAGCAAUUCCUAGAGAAAUUCCUGGAGGAAUUCAUGUAGAAAUUCCUGGGGUAAUUCCUAGAUAAGCUCCUGGAGAAAUUCCUGGAUAAAAUCCUGGAGAAAUUCCUAGAGGUAUUCCUUUGGGAAUUUCUGGAGGAAUCUCUAGAAGAAUUUUUGGAAGAAUUACUGGAUGAAUGUCUAGAGGAAUUCUGGGAAAUUUCUAUUUUUAUUCUAUUACUAGCUGUUCCGGCAAACGUCGUUCUGCCUGACUACUGUGUUUUUUUGACAUGCAGCUCUGUAGAAAAAUGCCACGCAAAAUGGAAUUUCAAACUUUCUCGUUUUCGUUGCGUUCGCUGUCGAUUUUCCCAAUUAUUUUUUCGCCGAACACGUCGGAGCACUGCACGAAUGGAACAUUGAAAGAAUGGUAUAGAUCCGUUGGCCCGUUUCCAAGCCUAUUCGUAACAUACAAACACCAUUCCAUUUUUAUUUAUAUAGAUUUUUCUAUUUCUGAAAAAAUCCCUUGAGAAAACCCCGGAGGAAUUUCUAGCGGAAUUUCUGGAGGAAUUCUUGGAUAAAUCCUCGAAGGAAUUCCUGAAGAAAUCCUUGGAGGAAUCCUAGAAGCAGUUUGUAAAGAAAUUCCUGGGGGAAUCCCUGAAAAAAUGCUGAUGGUAUUCCUCCAGGAAUUUCCUGGAAGAAUUUAUGAAGAAAUCCCUAGAGGAAAAUUUCCAGAAGAAUUUCUGGAAAAAAUCCUGGAGAAAUUGUUGACAUAACUUCUGAAGAAUGUCCAGGAGCAAUUCCUGGAUCAAUUCCUAGAGAAAUUGAUCCAGGUAUUCCUGAAGAAAUUCUUGGUGUAAUUCCUGGAGAAUUUCCUAGAAUAGUUCUUGGAGAAAUUCAUAAAUGAAAUCCUGGAGGAAUUGCUGGAGGUUCUCCUUUGGGAAUUGUUGGCGGAAUCCUUGAAGGAAUUCUAGGAGGAAUCUCUGUAGUAAUUCCUUCAACAAUUUGUGGAGUAAUUUCUGGGGGAAUCUCUAGAGGAGUUUUGGGAGAAAUUUCUGAAAAAAACGCCAGAGAAAUUCCCGGAGGAAUUUCUGAAGAAAUCCCUGGAAAAAUUACUAGAAAAGUUCCUGGAGGAGAUUUUAGUGCAAAUCCUGGAGGAAUGCCUGUAGCAAUUCCUGGAGGGAAUACUGGAAGAUUUCUUGGCGGAAUUUCUGGAAAACAUCCAGAAGGUAUUCCUAGAAAAAAUCCUGGAAGAAUUUCUGAAGGAAUCCCUGCAGGAUUUCCUGGGGUAAUUCCUAGAGGAAUUCCUGAAGAAAUUCGUGGAUGAAUCUCUUAGGGAAUUCGUAUAGGAAUACCAGAAAUAAUUCCUCAAGAAAUCGCAGAUGGAGUUCUUGAACAAAUUCGGGAGGAAUCCUUAGAAGAGUUUCUGAAGAAACUCCAGAAGGAAACCCGGAAGAAAUUUCAAGAGGAAUUACUAAGGGAAUCCCUAAGCAGUUCCUGGAGGAAGUACUGAAUCAAUUCCUAGAAAAGUUCAUUAAAAAUACAAUGAGGAAUUGCUGGAGGAACCCUAAAAAUAGUUCGUGGGAGAAUCUUUUGAGGAUGUUUAAAAUAAGUUGUUUCAGAAAGAAUCACAGAAGGAAGUCCCGAGUUAAGUCCUGCAGAAAUUCUUGGAGGAAUCCCUGGGAGAUAUCCUAGAAGAAUACCCGUAGAGAUUAACGGAGGAAUCUCUAGAAAUACUCCUGGAGGAAUUUCUGGAGAAAUAACUAUACGCAUUACAAUUUCCCAGAGGAUACCUGGAAUAAUUCUUAGCGGAAUCUCUGAAGAAAUUCAUGGAGAAUUCCCAGUGAAAAUUUCUGAAGAAAUUGCAGAUGGAAUCUUUGGAGAAAUCCUGAAGGAAUACUAAUAAGAGUUCGUGCAAGAACGCCUUGGGGAAUCCCUGUAGCAGUUCCUGAAGAAACCCCAGGAGAAAUCCUGGGGAAUUCCUAAAUAGUUCCUAGAGGAACUAUUGGAUUAUUUUUUGGAGAACUUCUGAAGCAAUUCUAAAUAGUGUUCCUGGGGGAACCCUUGGAGGAUUUUAUUUAAAUAAUUCCUGGAGUUGUUUCUGAAAUAAACACAGAAGAUAUUCCCGGUCGAAUCCUUGGAGGAAUGCUUUAAGGAAAAUCUGGAGGAGUUCCGGAAGCAAUCCCAUGAUGAAUUCCUUACGAAAUCCCAGGAAAGCUUUCUUAACAAAUUCCUGGAAGAAUUUCUGUAUGAAGGCAUCCUGUAAAAAUGAAGGCAUCCAUGUCUGCAAUAUUUUUUGGAAGAAUUAUUGUUGGAAUUUUUGGAUGGAGAAUGUUUUGUACAAUGAUUUAAGGAACUCCUAGAAAUUUCUGGAGGAAUUAUCGAAAAAAGCACUGGAACAAUCACUGAAGGAACUUCUAAAGAUAUCCCAGGAGGAAUUCCCGGAGGAAUGCCUGGUGAAACCCAUACAGGAAUUCAUGGAAAACUCUCUGGAGCAAUCCAUGCUAGAAUCACUGAAGGAAGCUAUGGAAAAUUCCUGAAGGAAUUCAUCGAUGUAUCCUUGCAGAAGUAUUUGUAAAAAACUGAAGGAAUCGUGGGGGAAUUCUUAAAGCAUUUCUUGGAACAAACCCUAAAAAAAACUAUCUGAACCCUGCAAGAUGUCCAUGGAAGAAUUCACGAAAGAGAAUCUCCUGGAUAUGUUCCUUGAGAAAUUUCUGAAAGAAUCCUUGGAAAAGUUCCUGAAUAACUGCCUAAAGGAAUUUCUGGAGAUGUCCUUGAAAGAAUUUGUUUAGAAAUCCCAGGUAUUAUUAUCUUAGCAUGACGUUUGUUUUAAUUGAAUACAAGUGAAAAUUCGUGUAGCAAUAGCAUAUAACUGCACUCUAUAGCAGCAUAUAAUUCUACAAAGUCCUUGUUUUUUCCUACCGGAAACUUGCCAUACUGUUUUUGUGUUCCAUGAAUACCUAAACAUCACAAAAUUUAACCAUUCAUCCUGUAGGAUAUUGAUUAUGCGUGUUAUUCGGUUGUGUACAAUAAUAACAAUGACGUUUAUUUUCUUCCUCCUGAUUCUCAGCCUACUAUAACAAUAGUUACGAUCUUAGCCUACUACAUCUUUCCCUUUCUUCAAAUAGCAGAACUAUUCUAUUCAGCGAAAUCUUGUAUUGCACAUUUUUUUAUGAUUUUCAAAUCGAAGCCCCGUUGCACUCAUAUAGUGAUAUCAUGGGCUUCCUCCAGAAGAUACUUUCGUCAAUCGUCAAUGUUCGUCCAUUAAGCCUUCCUCUGCGUUUUCCGACAUCCAGCAUAGUUGUGGUUAUCACAAUAGUUGGAAAAUGUCUCCCUUUGAUUCUCCUAUGUACCAUGAUUAACACAGCUUCGGAUUUCGUCAUGAUGGAUUCUUCAAUUGUUCAAACUCACUUUCCUUAUAUGGAAGUUAUCUAAAAUAAACUUCAAGAUACAUUAUACACAUAUUCAUAUACUUUAAAGUUACUAAAUAAUACGCCAAACGAACUGAGCUGGGCUCCUUCAUUUUGGUAUGUAAUCAAAUAAAAUCAUCUUAAAUAGACUAGGAUUCGUAAUCCUCUUCAUUCUUUUUUUUUUCAACUCCAAAUAGACUAGGAUGACUUCAUCCCCUAUAUUUGGUUACAGAAACGGACUAGAACUCACUGAGCUCCCUACGUUUCUUGCUAGGAAUGGACUAGGAUUUGUAAUCCCCUACAUUCCAUUUUUUCUACUCCAAAUAGACUAGGAUGACUUCAUCCCCUAUAUUUGGUUACAGAAACGGACUAGAACUUUUCGAAAGUUCCCUACGUUUCAUGCUAGGAAUGGACUAGGAUUCGUGAUCCCCUACAUUCCAUUACUUUUUUUCUUCUUCGAACUCCAAAUAGACUAGGAUAACUUUAUCCCCUAUAUUUGGAUUCAGAAACGGACUAGAACUCCCUGAGCUCCCUACGUUUCUUGAAAGGAAUGGACUAGGAUUUGUUAUCCCCUACAUUCUAUUUUACCUACUCGAAGUAGACUACGGUGCAUUUAUCUAUAUAUACAAAAAUGAAUAACAUUCAGGAAACCACGAUUGUCUGGAAUCCUCCAUUCAUUUGGUUGUUCUGUUCUGUUGAUGUACUUAACCCUCUACGCACUGCGAUGGUCUAGUGUACGUUCAGCGUGCCUGUCUAGAUCAUAUAUACCCAAACAUCCUACUAGGGUUAAACGUUUAAUUCACGCUGUAGUUCGCCAAUCUGAUGAAAACUAGUUUACUGCAUUAAGUUAUCUUUCAACAUGUCGUAUCUCGACAUUUCACAACUCGAAGUUCUCUUUAUCUCUACAUGUCGAUGUCCCUUUAUUUCGAUAUCUUAAUAUUCAAACCAUCCGGUAAAAGCAAAGCGAUCUUUUGUUCUUACGAAUCUUCUCGGUUACGAAAGCUUGCUAUUAAAAGCAUUGAUCAAAAUUGUACUUCGUCUCAAGAUCUCCCAGUCUCAACGGUUUUUUUUUCGUGAUGUCAAUCAUAU